GGCUUGGUGUUGGGGUGCUGGAGGAGCUGGUGCUCGCACGGCUGUUACAGCCGAUGCAUCUGGCCAAACCAAGACUCCGUGACUCAUGCACAAACUGGCUACUACUUUCUUCUCACCGAGGAGCGGUCUAAAUGGGCCCACUAAAAUGGGUCAGAUGAUCACACGUCUAUUCAACAGCAUCUUCCCGCCCGUACACUGGUCUGCCCUGUGAAAUCCUUCUCUUGGUGAUACUCCUCCAACA
rnacentral:lncRNA from 1 species